CCACCACCAAAGCAUUUGCUGUACCGCGUUGACGGAGCGAAGCGACGUCAAACCGAUAAAACAGCAGUGUAAAGUGAGCCGCAGGGCGCUUUGCGCGACAGCGCAAAGGCAGGCGGUUUCGCGUAGCGAAAGCGAAUGCUUUGGGGUGGGGUGACUGCGUACCUUUUGUAUAAUGGGUCAGCGACUUAUAUUCUGUAGCAAGGUUAACCGAAUAGGGGAGCCGGAGGGAAACCGAGUCUUAAUUGGGCGUUAAGUUGCAGGGUAUAGACCCGAAACCCGGUGAUCUAGCCAUGGGCAGGUUGAAGGUUGGGUAACACUAACUGGAGGACCGAACCGACUAAUGUUGAAAAAUUAGCGGAUGACCUGUGGCUGGGGGUGAAAGGCCAAUCAAACCGGGAGAUAGCUGGUUCUCCCCGAAAGCUAUUUAGGUAGCGCCUCGUGAAUUCAUCUCCGGGGGUAGAGCACUGUUUCGGCUAGGGGGCCAUCCCGGCUUACCAACCCGAUGCAAACUGCGAAUACCGGAGAAUGUUAUCACGGGAGACACACGGCGGGUGCUAACGUCCGUCGUGAAGAGGGAAACAACCCAGACCGCCAGCUAAGGUCCCAAAGUCAUGGUUAAGUGGGAAACGAUGUGGGAAGGCCCAGACAGCCAGGAUGUUGGCUUAGAAGCAGCCAUCAUUUAAAGAAAGCGUAAUAGCUCACUGGUCGAGUCGGCCUGCGCGGAAGAUGUAACGGGGCUAAACCAUGCACCGAAGCUGCGGCAGCGACACUGUGUGUUGUUGGGUAGGGGAGCGUUCUGUAAGCCUGUGAAGGUGUGUCGUGAGGCAUGCUGGAGGUAUCAGAAGUGCGAAUGCUGACAUAAGUAACGAUAAAGCGGGUGAAAAGCCCGCUCGCCGGAAGACCAAGGGUUCCUGUCCAACGUUAAUCGGGGCAGGGUGAGUCGACCCCUAAGGCGAGGCCGAAAGGCGUAGUCGAUGGGAAACGGGUUAAUAUUCCCGUACUUGGUGUUACUGCGAAGGGGGGACGGAGAAGGCUAUGUUGGCCGGGCGACGGUUGUCCCGGUUUAAGCGUGUAGGUGUGUGUUCCAGGUAAAUCCGGUUCACUUUAACACUGAGGCGUGACGACGAGGCACUACGGUGCUGAAGCAACAAAUGCCCUGCUUCCAGGAAAAGCCUCUAAGCAUCAGGUAACAUCAAAUCGUACCCCAAACCGACACAGGUGGUCAGGUAGAGAAUACCAAGGCGCUUGAGAGAACUCGGGUGAAGGAACUAGGCAAAAUGGUGCCGUAACUUCGGGAGAAGGCACGCUGACACGUAGGUGAAGUGAUUUACUCAUGGAGCUGAAGUCAGUCGAAGAUACCAGCUGGCUGCAACUGUUUAUUAAAAACACAGCACUGUGCAAACACGAAAGUGGACGUAUACGGUGUGACGCCUGCCCGGUGCCGGAAGGUUAAUUGAUGGGGUCAGCGCAAGCGAAGCUCCUGAUCGAAGCCCCGGUAAACGGCGGCCGUAACUAUAACGGUCCUAAGGUAGCGAAAUUCCUUGUCGGGUAAGUUCCGACCUGCACGAAUGGCGUAAUGAUGGCCAGGCUGUCUCCACCCGAGACUCAGUGAAAUUGAACUCGCUGUGAAGAUGCAGUGUACCCGCGGCAAGACGGAAAGACCCCGUGAACCUUUACUAUAGCUUGACACUGAACAUUGAGCCUUGAUGUGUAGGAUAGGUGGGAGGCUUUGAAGUGUGGACGCCAGUCUGCAUGGAGCCGACCUUGAAAUACCACCCUUUAAUGUUUGAUGUUCUAACGUGGACCCGUUACCCGGGUUGCGGACAGUGUCUGGUGGGUAGUUUGACUGGGGCGGUCUCCUCCUAAAGAGUAACGGAGGAGCACGAAGGUUGGCUAAUCCUGGUCGGACAUCAGGAGGUUAGUGCAAUGGCAUAAGCCAGCUUGACUGCGAGCGUGACGGCGCGAGCAGGUGCGAAAGCAGGUCAUAGUGAUCCGGUGGUUCUGAAUGGAAGGGCCAUCGCUCAACGGAUAAAAGGUACUCCGGGGAUAACAGGCUGAUACCGCCCAAGAGUUCAUAUCGACGGCGGUGUUUGGCACCUCGAUGUCGGCUCAUCACAUCCUGGGGCUGAAGUAGGUCCCAAGGGUAUGGCUGUUCGCCAUUUAAAGUGGUACGCGAGCUGGGUUUAGAACGUCGUGAGACAGUUCGGUCCCUAUCUGCCGUGGGCGCUGGAGAACUGAGGGGGGCUGCUCCUAGUACGAGAGGACCGGAGUGGACGCAUCACUGGUGUUCGGGUUGUCAUGCCAAUGGCACUGCCCGGUAGCUAAAUGCGGAAGAGAUAAGUGCUGAAAGCAUCUAAGCACGAAACUUGCCCCGAGAUGAGUUCUCCCUGAGACUUUAGGUCUCCUGAAGGAACGUUGAAGACGACGACGUUGAUAGGCCGGGUGUGUAAGCGCAGCGAUGCGUUGAGCUAACCGGUACUAAUGAACCGUGAGGCUUAACCUUACAACGCCGAAG
rnacentral:rRNA from 1 species